GACGAACGCUGGCGGCGUGCUUAACACAUGCAAGUCGAACGGAAAGGCCCUGCUUUUGUUGCUUGCUCGAGUGGCGAACGGGUGAGUAACACGCGAGUAACCUGCCCCUGACUUUCUGAUAACUUCAGGAAACUGGGGCUCAUACCCGAUAUGAUCUCCUGCUGCAUGGUGUGCGUUGGUAAGUUUCGGCGGUGCGGGAUCGACUCGCGGCUUAUCAGCUUGUUGGGGGGGUAGUUACUUACCAAGCCUUUGACGGGUAGCCGGCCUGAGAGGGUGAACGGCCACAAUGGGACUGAGAGACGGCCCAGAAUCGUACGGGAGGCAGUAGUGGGGAAUAUUGCGCAAUGGGCGGAAGCCUGAUGCAGAAACGCUGCGUGCGGGAUGACGGCCUUCGGGUUGUAAACCGCUUUCGCAUGUGACGAAGAGUGAGUGACGGUAAUGGGUAAAGAAGCACCGGCUAACUACGUG
rnacentral:rRNA from 1 species